rnacentral:lncRNA from 1 species
GUUGUUGUAUUACAUACAUUAGGCAUUUUUUUGUUUGUUAUCAUAUAUGCUUGUUAAAAAUAAUUUAUCUAUAUUUAUAUGUAAAAUAUAAGAAAAUUAAUUUUGAAUCAAAUAGCAUUUAUUGUAGGAAAAUUAAAACAGUAGUUCCAUUAUUUUGGUAAAGUUAAAUAGUGCCUAAAUUAUUUCGUAAAAAUUAAACCAAGACAAAUUAUCUCCAUUAAAAUAAAACAGUACAUAUUCGACAAAAAAAAUAAAUAAUAAAACAGUAGAUACAUUAUUUUCUUAUAAGAUUAAACAAUAGGUAAAUUAUAUUGUAGGUACAUUAUGUUUGUAAUAUAAAAAAAAAUUGAAAUUCAUAAACAAAAAGUAGUAGAUAUUUUAUUUUUUUAAUCAAAUUUCCUUUAUUUGUAGGUGAAUUAUUUUCAUGUAUUAUUGUCACAACCCGUCCCGGAAAUGUACAUUAUUUUGUUAUCAUUGAUGUGAAAAUACUAAAAUGCCCUUGAGCGUUUGUGGCAUUGUGGGACUAUGUGUGGUUGAGGACCAAUGUAUUAAAUUCCUAUUAUUUUGAAACCAAUUGGAAGUAAGGAAAAUGGGUUGUUUUGAUUGGUGACCCAAAAAUCUGGACCACAUAUCCUGUCUCUCUCUCACUCUCCCAUGCUCUCUCUUCUCUCUCUCUCGGUUUCACUCUCUCUCCUUCGAAAUGGUACGGACAAGCACCCAAGACCCUUGAAACUUCACGGAUCGUGGCCAAAAUUAGUACCAUUGGGUUUGUGAGGACCAUACGAGUUCAAAGGUACCUAUUUCAGGUAAGAACCCGUUCAAUAUCACAUUAAAAAAUUCAAGCUCCGAGUUGAGCACUACUCACGAACUUUUAAAUGGUUAUGUUUUAGGACAAUCCAAGCUCAUAGCGAGCUUAGUGAGGUCCCAAGGAAGCUCGGAGUGCUUCGUUUGAAGGUUUUGGACGUCUGGAUCGUGUGGACGAAGUUUGGCCGAUUUUCUUGGAAUUCUCUGGUGAGAUCCUGUGACUUUUAGAGCUUUAAAUUAGUAUGAUCGUGUUCUACAAGUUAAGAGCUUCAUUUUGGUAUAAAUUGCAUGAAAAAUGGUGCAAAAACGAGUGAGAAAAAGGCAGUUGCAGGUCUACCCAGAAUCCGGCACCGGCGACACUAUUCCGACGUCUGGAGGUUUAAGAAGAUGCGCGUGUUGGGCAUGUGAGGCCGUGCCCUCCCCGGCGCGUGGGGGCGCGUGAGCCACCUAAAAAUUUAUCUAAAAAUAUCACGAUGUUCGUGAGGUUGUGUACGUUACUAUGGUAUAUUCAUAUACCCAUUUUGAGCAAUGUAUAAGAAUUUAUUAGCUAGUUUUGUAUAUGUGCUUUAAAAUAAUGUUUUUAUAGUUAAUUCGCAUAUAGGUGAGGCCUAUCCCGAGGACGAGCAUAUCCACGGGCGACUCGGGGGCUACGACCCUUCGACAUACCAGUGAGUGGGCUUUUGUUUUCAAUAUAUAUCUAUAUACUUGAUAUAUAUUUCCAGAAAUGCAUUUUUAGUAAAGUAUGCUUUGAAUUAAUAUGCCAAUUUCUUUUGUAUUCUGAAUAUGCAU